UAGCAGGUUCCACAGAAUGGGCCCCGCC
rnacentral:sRNA from 1 species